rnacentral:lncRNA from 1 species
GAACAGGUCCUUGUCCGGAAGAUGCCAAUUCAGUUUGCGUAAAUGAUAAGUGUGCCUGUAAAGAAGGACAUGGAGAAAAGGAUAACGUCUGUACACCUACCGUGAGUGGAACUGAGUGUGCAGAUGGAGAUGAAUGUGAUAAUAUUGACAAUGCAGUGUGUGAUGAGGGUACGAACAGAUGUAAAUGUAGUCCAAAUUUCGUUAUGAACGUUGACACAUGUGUACCUGAGAACACUGGUGCAUCUACAGGAGUUGGAGCUAUGACACUUGUACUGUCUGUUUUCACAACAAUUCAAGUGGUGUUAAAAUAAAUUUGAAGAUGGUGUCUCAUUCGAAGAAAAUGUACGAUAAACAGUGUGUUUUAGUUUGUGUGUAUAAGAGACAUUAUAUUAUCAACUGUUUCUAAAGUGCUAUCUACUCAACCGCUUCGCUUGCCAUGGAAACUAUUUGCGUGUGUGUCUACAUACCAUGAUUUAAACACUUCGAAGUCUUAUAUAUUCUAUAUAAUACUUUAGUUUAUAACAAUUUAUAUAGGUCGAAUGUGAAACAAAAUCUACAACUUAUAUUUUUCAAUGUCGGCACGUAAUUCCUGAUCGGAGGUAUGAUGUUAAAAGGGUUAUGUUAGCGUAGAACGGCUUAAUUCUAAUUUCUUCAUAAUAUUUUUAUGGUGCAAGCUAAGUUGUCAAAUGUCGGAGUUUUUUAUUAUUUUAUUUAAAGCAAAAUAUUAGGUAGUCAGAAGAAAAGAAAGGCCCUUUCAGUAUGUUUAAUUUAUAUAUAUUCUAGAGAAAAACUUAUUAUAUACGUUUUUGGUUUGCACUAUUUCUACAGCGCAAAUGAUGACAGAAAUAACGUUCUGAACCAGACAUGAAAUCUGAGCAUCAGAAAGUAAGCAUAUUGGUGUUUGAGGUUCCAUUGUUACUUAAUAAAAAAUGGCAUGCCAAUACACAUAUCUUCAAAAUACUUGGAAGGAACAUACUUAAAAUAUGCAUAUCUUUUAACAUCAUACUCAAAUUAUCGUACCAAAAUUACAACAAACUCAUCGUACAAGUUUAUUCCCUUAACCUUUGUUCACAUUGAAAAAUUUUCGCAGAAAUGACAAGCAGACGUUUUUAAAGAUAAAGUCAAAAUAAAAUCAUUGUCACUGUUAAAUCGCUGUCCUGCAGUGCCUAAAAAAUUCUGAAUUUUGACAGGAUUUUCUUUUAAAACCACAGAUAAAAUUGUAUCUGCAUUUAAAGUCUCAUUUCAACUAGAUCUGCUUGAUAUCUUUAUACUAUACAUGCAAUGCUUCUUACUCACGUUUGAUGUUUGUGUUUAAUAUAAUGAAUUUGACAACUGUUUAGUUCUUAAAUGAGAAAAUGAAUUUCCCAUAUGAAUAUAUUUCGACAUAAUGGCCGCCAUUCUACGUCUGUUUUAUCAAAGGACGUUGACGGAUGGUUUAAUGCUGAGAUAGGUAACUAGCCGGUAAAGAGUACUAUCCAGACACUUGGUCAGAAUAUAUACAUUUCCGAAUAAUUGCAUCUGCAUGAACAUACCUUGUAAUUCAACAUUAGGUUUAUUUUUAAAUAAUUAAACUACUACAUAACGGGUUUUAACUAAAAUUUGAACAAGUGAAUGAUAUUUAGCAAUUACAAUACUGGUACUAUAUAAUAUAUUUCAUCAUUAAAGUUAAUAAACAAAACGUAUCCUGUUGUAAAGACAAUUCUGUAAAUGAACGAACAUGGUUUAUAAAUUACUCAUGAAUGUAGAGUUUUUGUUCCUUUAAAACAAAUUAUAUAGCAAGUGUGCGAGGCCCAAUCACAUACAGACCAACUAUUAUCUGUAUACUGGAUACUAUUCCCGGUGAAAACCAUGUGAUUAUGGAUAAAUGUUUUUACUCAUUUAAGGAUGAGGGUAGCGCAUUAUUGUUUACAACUAUCGUUGAAACCCCAAACUCCUAGCUGAGUAUUAAUUUAUGGCAAAAUACAAAACAG